CAUGCUGGACGUAUCAGAAGUGCGAAUGCUGACAUGAGUAACGAUAAAGGGGGUGAAAAACCUCCUCGCCGGAAGACCAAGGGUUCCUGUCCAACGUUAAUCGGGGCAGGGUAAGUCGACCCCUAAGGCGAGGCCGAAAGGCGUAGUCGAUGGGAAACGGGUUAAUAUUCCCGUACUUCUUACAAUUGCGAUGGGGGGACGGAGAAGGCUAGGUGGGCCUGGCGACGGUUGUCCAGGUUCAAGUGCGUAGGCUU
rnacentral:rRNA from 1 species